AUUUUUUUUAUCCCAAAAUUCCUUUUUUUCCCCCCAAAUUCCCCUUUUCCCCCCCCCACAAACCAGGCGGGUUUUUUUUGUCCCAAAAUUCCGUUUAUUUCCCCCAAAUUCUCCCCGUUUUGGGGGCGGGGUCAGCCCGGAGUCGCCCCGGGGUCAAAGGUCACCCGGGGAGGUCGAUGGUCACUCCCGAGGUCAAAGGUCACUAAGGGGGGUCGGUGGUCACUUCAGGGUCAAAGGUCGCUCGUGGAGGGCAAUGGUCACUCUGGGGUCACUCCGGGGUCAAAGGUCACUCUGCAAGAUCGAUGGUCACUCAGGGGCCAGAGGUCACUCAGGGGUCAAAGGUCACUCAGGGAGGUCGAUGGUCACUCAGUGGUCACUCCAAAGGUCAAAGGUCACUCUGGGAGGUCGAGGGUCACUCCGAGGUCAAAGGUCACUCCGGGAGGUCGAUGGUCACUCCGGGGUCACUCCGGGGUCAGAGGUCACUCCGGGAGGUCGAUG
rnacentral:lncRNA from 1 species